GAAAGAAUUUGGUUUUUCCUCUUAAUUUGUCUCGUGUAAACACACGUCUUACAGGUACAAGUUUGGAUACACUUAAGGUCAUAAUCGUUCGUACAACGGCUGAGGAUACAUCUUGAAAUUUUUGUACCAGAGAAGCAUUUGUAUCAUAUAGGUCAUAUACUUAGUUUUAAAUUUUGAUAAUAUUACAACAUGUCGUAUGUGUUCAUUAUUAACGUCAUUCGAAGUUAUAUCCCAUAUUAUGUAAUUACAUUUAUAGAAAUUCAUGAAAAAUGGACAACACAAGUGUGCAAACAGUGUUGGUGAACGAGUAGAAAUUUUGCGUGACAUAAGCGAAAACUAUAAUCUUCUGUGGAUAAGAAAUAAGGGAAAUCGUAUGCGUAUGGUGCCAAGUACCUACUACGAAGAUGCCUCUUGUUUCAUAGUGUCCAACGAAAAACUAUCCUUCUGACUAGUAACUACUCAAAAAACUGAGCUGUAUUCUACUGGCUCAAACGGUCAUGAUAUUUAUUACAUUCGCCAUUACGAGUUGAGAAUUAUAUAAACUCACCGGUUAAUUUGAUAAAUAUUCAAGAAUUCAUCACAUUUACCAAAAUUAGUGGUGAUUAUAUAUAAUAACCGACAAUUAUACAUAAUCACCGAAUUAAUCACAUUUACUGUAACAUAUAUACUACUCGACACUUCAAUACGUAGCAAGGAUAUUUUUCAGAAUUAUUACUGAAUCCAUCAAGUAUUUUACGCAAUUUUAAAAGUAUGCCCUUAGAUGUUUGAUUAUUUCUUGCAACGAUGAAAAUACUUGACAAAAACAAAGUAACUGCACUUGUAAAAUUAAAAUAAAUUGAUGAUGACAAGUUUUUCUAAUCGAUUGUUAAGAAAAUUAAUUUUCUGAUCAUUCAUAUUACAGAAUUUGGGUGGUAAACGAUUUUCUCGAUUUUCACAAAGCCACAUAUGUUAUGGAAUUAUAUGUGAGAAAAAUAUCAUUCUCUUUUAUAUAGUUUUUAAAAUCAAUUGCGAAAAAAUGUCGGUACCGCUACGUUAAUUCUGGCUUAUAGACAUGCCUAAACAUGACCUCCGGUAAAGGAAUCGCUGUUGCCGACUGUCAGGUAGAGAUGAUACAACAGCGACAUCAGCUUAGUAUCUAUGGGGUGUACAGUUUAUGCAUAAGUAGAAAUGAGUUUUACAAAUACUUACAAGCUGGAUACUGGUUCAGUAGGGCUGGCUUUUCUGGAAUAGAGUGCAGUGAGAUCAGAGCUUGAAAAAACCUUUCGGUCUGAAUCUAUAGUCUCCUGGGCAGCAAAAGCUACAAUAACGGAUUAUUUUUGGGACAUUCUAUAGAUACUGAAGCCGAUAUUACUAUUCAUUCGACGACUCACCGACGAUGAUUAUGUAUAUAGAUCAGUGUUACGGAUCCCUUUGGACACGCGUGGUUUGCACGAUCGCCAGAAUCACCAUACAGUAGCCGAUUUGACCAUUUUAGCUAGCUAAAAUUAAAAACACCUAUUAUAUACUGAAUCUUGAAUCUUAUAUAUAUAUAUAUAUAUAUAUAUAUAUAUAUAUAUAUAUAUAUAAAUAAAAUAUUGUAAAA